rnacentral:lncRNA from 1 species
GCCUAAUCACUUCUCCCCAAUACUUCUUAGGCCUCCCUCUGCCUCGCCGAACGCCGACAAUUGCCAGCCGCUCACAAAUCCUCACCGGGGCAUCAGGACUUCUCCUCCGCACAUGCCCGAACCACCUCAGCCUCGCUUCUCGCAUCUUCUCACCGGGGCCACCCCCACCUUCUCUCGAAUAACUUCAUUCUUAAUCUUAUCUAACCUGGUGAGCCCGCACAUCCACCUGAGCAUCCUUAUCUCCGCAACCUUCAUUCUCUGAAUAUGAGAGUUCUUCACGGG